UACGUAGGUGGAGAGCGUUGUCCGGAUUUACUGGGCGUAAAGGGAGCGUAGGCGGACUUUUAAGUGAGAUGUGAAAUACCCGGGCUCAACUUGGGUGCUGCAUUUCAAACUGGAAGUCUAGAGUGCAGGAGAGGAGAAUGGAAUUCCUAGUGUAGCGGUGAAAUGCAUAGAUAUCACACAGAACACCGAUAGCGAAGGCAGGUUGCUAAUUCUCAACUGACGCUGAGGGACGAAAGCGUGGGGAGCAAACAGGAUUAGA
rnacentral:rRNA from 1 species